AGCGGGACAGGCGGUCGCGUCAUGGCCAGACCAUGAUGAGGAAAGUCCGGGCUUCACUGGGCAGGAUGCCAGCUAACAGCUGGGUACGGCGACGUAACGGAUCAGUGCCACAGAAAAGAAAACUCCCCGGUUAUACGGAGAAAAGCUGAAAAGGUGCGGUAAGAGCGCACCAGCGCCACGGUAACGUGGCGGCUUGGUAAACCCCAUCCGAAGCAAGAGCAAAUAGGAGCACAGAGGGCUGGCCCGGUCCGUGCUCGGGUUGCUUGCUAGAGCUGCUUGGCAACAUGCAGUCGAGAUAAAUGGCCGUCCAAAGGACAGAACCCGGCUUAUAGCCCCACUCC
rnacentral:RNase_P_RNA from 1 species